GGUUCUCAACCCGUGGCUGCGACAUCUGUCACCCCAUUGAUCGCCAGGGUUGAUUCGGCUGAUCUGGCUGGCUAGGCGGGUGUCCCCUUCCUCCCUCACCGCUCCAUGUGCGUCCCUCCUGAAGCUGCGCGCUCGGUGGAAGAGGACGACGUCCCAGGUAUAGAAGGAGUGUACCGAGGUCUCCAGUCUUCAGUCCCGGGUAUACGAUAGCUGCGUUCCCCUGCUAGAACCUCCAAACAAGCCAAGCAAAUCCUUGUUGAGACCACCUUCCAACUGGAAAUGUAUGUCCCUACUGUGGAAGAUUAUGCAAAUCCAGAAUAAGUUUCUACAGUCACUUAUGGACCCACUGCUAAGACUCU
rfam:Anolis carolinensis chromosome 4, whole genome shotgun sequence.